rnacentral:misc_RNA from 1 species
UAUCCAUUCUAUCUCGAACUCCCAGACACCUCAACCUACCCCAUCUCUUUCCCCUCGUCACCUACACUCCACUUCUUUCUCACGCACUCGAGUGUCUACCUCUCUCCCUCCCUCUCUCUCGUUCAUAUCUCCCUCAGUCUCUCUGUGUCCUUGAGGUGACGCAGCCGCAUACAGAGCUCCUCUCUUUGGUCGUGGUGGUUCUGCGGUGGCCCUCCCUCCUUCCCUCUACUCUCACGCUCUUCCAAGCAUAGAAAGGAAAAGCAAAAGAUACCGACGGCUAGCCGCGCACUUGCCAGCACUGCGAAAAGAAAAACAAAAGGAAGGAUCUCGCUUGCACUAUGCCCGGGUUCAACUUUGAAAAUGUGCAGCGUAACCUCAGCCUGGAGAAUGAGGGCUACUCUGCGCCACGAACGCUGAAGACCGGUACGACUAUCGUCGGUGUCGUUUACAAGGACGGCGUCGUGCUCGGAGCUGACACUCGUGCCACCGAGGGCAGUAUUGUGGCGGACAAGUGCUGCCGCAAGAUCCACUACAUGGCUCCGAAUAUCAUGUGCUGCGGUGCCGGCACGUCGGCGGACACAGAGGCCGUGACGAAUAUGGUGUCCUCGCACCUGGCCCUGCACCGGCUCGAGACGGGCAAGCAGUCCCGCGUGCUCGAGGCACUGACGUUGCUGAAGCGCCACUUGUACCGCUACCAGGGUCACGUCAGCGCAGCGCUUGUGCUCGGUGGCGUGGAUGUGGAGGGCCCGUUCUUAGCCACCAUCGCGCCACACGGCAGCACCGAUCGUCUGCCCUUCGUGACGAUGGGCAGCGGUAGCAUUGCCGCCAUGGCUCAGUUGGAGGUUGCCUACAAAGACAACAUGACGUGCGAGGAGGCCAAGGAGCUGGUGACGUCGGCUAUCCACAAGGGCAUCUUUAAUGAUCCCUACAGCGGCACCCAGGUGGACGUGUGCGUCAUCACGAAGGACAAGACGGAACUCAUGAUCGGUUACGACACGCCGAACAAGCGCAUGCACCCGCGGCAGGAAGUCAUGCUCCCUCCUGGUACUACGCCGGUGCUAAAGGAGGAGAUCCGUCACUUGGUUGAUAUAGUGGAUGUCUGAUGCCGCGAACACCCAGGGACGAAAAUUGAACCGAUUCAGGCCAUAUAUGUGGAGGUGGGAAUGGUGUCUGCGGUGGUUGCACGCCGUGAUGGGAGAAAACAGCAGGCCGGGAGAGAAGUCGCCUGUAGCGUCAGCGUCGGCGUCGGCAUGCGGAGGGCGUUGGUUUUGGAUAUGUCUGCGUGUAUGUAAGGGAUGGAUGUAGGCCAGCUUGGAGUUUCCGGCACUGCGAUGAGGGAAGCUCUCUCCCUCGCCCUCUCACGGCAAGGCCGCAAUGCGCUCCUCCGUCCACGGGUCUGCGUGUACACACAGUCGUGUAUGCAUAUGUGUGGGUCUGUGUGUAAGCAUUCGAGUGCGGGUAUACCGGUGCCCCUCUCUUUGUGUAUCGGCCAAUAUAUCCAUGUGCUUGUGUGUUGCAGUUUGCUUUUUUAUUUGUACCAUCGUUUUCUCGCGCCUGCAUCCUCCCUCCGAUGUGUGGAGGGGGCUUGAAGUGGAGUGGGUGGGCUGCACGGCGCUUCGGCCUUCUGUUCUCGCGUCACUGUUUCAUGAGAUGGAGUUCCAAGUACGAAAAAGAAAAGCAACGACAGCACCCCCCCCCUCCCUCCCCCCAAAAAAGACACAAUAGCGUUGGGGCGUGCUCAUCAGUGCAGAAAGAGUCGGGGGGGGGGGGAUGGGGAGAGGCAAUCAAAGUAAGCGAGCUUGUUGUUUCCUUCUGUGUGCGUUCGCCGUUCUACGCUGGCAGUGUGAAGAGACGGCUCGUUACAUUUGCGUUCCAUUCGGUAAGGGGAUGCUUAGCGUGUGUCCCUCGCCCAGUCAUGCGUGUUGCUGCGUUCGAUGCUUGUGGCUCGAUGCUCUGC